CCUACGGGAGGCUGCAGUGGGGGAUAUUGGACAAUGGGGGAAACCCUGAUCCAGCGACGCCGCGUGAGUGAAGAAGUAUUUCGGUAUGUAAAGCUCUGUCAGCAGGGAAGAAAGCAAUGACGGUACCUGACCAAGACGCCCCGGCUAACUACGUGCCAGCAGCCGCGGUAAUACGUAGGGGGCAAGCGUUCUCCGGAAUUACUGGGUGUAAAGGGAGCGUAGACGGUGAGGCAAGUCUGGAGUGAAAGGCGGGGGCCCAACCCCAGGACUGCUCUUGAGACUGUGUAACGUGAGUGCAGGAGAGGUAAGCGGAAUUCCUAGUGUAGCGGUGAAAUGCGUAGAUAUUAGGAGGAACACCAGUGGCGAAGGCGGCUUACUGGACUGUAACUGACGUUGAGGCUCGAAAGUGUGGGGAGCAAACAGGAUUAGAUACCCUUGUAGUC
rnacentral:rRNA from 1 species